rnacentral:rRNA from 1 species
UACGGAGGAUCCGAGCGUUAUCCGGAUUUAUUGGGUUUAAAGGGAGCGUAGGCGGGUUGUUAAGUCAGUUGUGAAAGUUUGCGGCUCAACCGUAAAAUUGCAGUUGAUACUGGCAUCCUUGAGUACAGUAGAGGUAGGCGGAAUUCGUGGUGUAGCGGUGAAAUGCUUAGAUAUCACGCAGAACGCCGAUUGCGAAGGCAGCUUACCGGCGCUCAACUGACGCUGAGGCACGAAAGUGCGGGUAUCGAACAGG